rnacentral:rRNA from 1 species
UGCCCUUUUGUGGUAAACAGCCGCUGUAUUUUGACGGUGCUAAGGUAGCGAAAUUCCUAGCCUUUUAAUUGGAGGCCUGCAUGAAUGGCUUGACGAGCGCCUGACUGUCUCUCUCUCGCAUGUAGUGAAAUUAGCUUUUGUGUGCAAAGACACAAAUAAUUGAGUAAGACGAAAAGACCCUGUGCAACUUUACUAAGAAAAGAGGGGUUACCUAUUUGUAGUUUAGCUGGGGCAGCUUAGGAAAAGAUAAAACUUCCUUGAAUUUAACAUACUGGUAGGUUUGGAUCCGAUGUAGUUAUUGUGUAGAUCGAGUAGCAGAAAAGUUACGCCAGGGAUAACAGCGUUAUCCUUCUGUGGAGGUCUUAUCUGCAGGGGGGAUUGCGACCUCG